rnacentral:rRNA from 1 species
CGUGUAGGCGGGACGGCACGUCUGUCGCUGAAAUCCCCCGGCUUAACCGGGGAACCGGCGUAGAUACGACCGUCCUUGAGGGGCGUAGGGGGACCUGGAACUUCCGGUGGAGCGGUGAAAUGCGUUGAGAUCGGAAGGAACGCCCGUGGCGAAAGCGAGGUCCUGGACGCCUACUGACGCUGAGACGCGAAAGCCAGGGGAGCGAACG